AUGCAGUCGACGGGUCUCAAAUAGGACGAAACACGUGUCAUGCAU
rnacentral:hammerhead_ribozyme from 1 species